rfam:Triticum urartu cultivar G1812 contig16836, whole genome shotgun sequence.
CUUCUACUCCCUCCAUCUGAAAAAGCUUGUCCCUCGAAUGCAUGUAUCUAGAACCAAGUUAGUGCUAGAUACAUCCAUUUGAAUAACAAGCUUGGGACAAGCUUUUCCGGACGGAGGGAGUAGCUG